UGGCGACCGGCGCACGGGUGAGUAACGCGUAUCCAACCUGCCCUUUACUAUGGGACAGCCCGUCGAAAGGCGGAUUAAUACCGUAUGUUGUCAUGUUGAUGCAUAUUUUCAUGACCAAAGGCUUCGGCCGGUAAAGGAUGGGGAUGCGUCUGAUUAGCUUGCCGGCGGGGUAACGGCCCACCGGGGCGACGAUCAGUAGGGGUUCUGAGAGGAAGGUCCCCCACAUUGGAACUGAGACACGGUCCAAGCUCCUACGGAAGGCAGCAG
rnacentral:rRNA from 1 species